AUUGAACGCUGGCGGCAUGCCUUACACAUGCAAGUCGAACGGUAACAGGUCUUCGGAUGCUGACGAGUGGCGAACGGGUGGGUAAUACAUCGGAACGUGCCUAGUAGUGGGGGAUAACUACUCGAAAGAGUGGCUAAUACCGCAUGAGAUCUACGGAUGAAAGCAGGGGAUCGCAAGACCUUGUGCUACUAGAGCGGCCGAUGGCAGAUUAGGUAGUUGGUGGGAUAAAAGCUUACCAAGCCGACGAUCUGUAGCUGGUCUGAGAGGACGAUCAGCCACACUGGGACUGAGAAACGGCCCAGACUUCUACGGGAGGCAGCAGUGGGGAAUUUUGGACAAUGGGCGCAAGCCUGAUCCAGCAAUGCCGCGUGCAGGAUGAAGGCCUUCGGGUUGUAAACUGCUUUUGUACGGAACGAAAAGCCCCGGGUUAAUACCCUGGGGUCAUGACGGUACCGUAAGAAUAAGCACCGGCUAACUACGUGCCAGCCGCCGCCGUAA
rnacentral:rRNA from 1 species